AGGACGAACGCUGGCGGCGUGCUUAACACAUGCAAGUCGAGCGGAAAGGCCCUUCGGGGUACUCGAGCGUCGAACGGGUGAGUAACACGUGAGCAAUCUGCCCCUAGCUCUGGGAUAGCUCCGGGAAACCGGGAUUAAUACCAGAUACAACCACUUUAGACAUCUUUUGUGGUGGAAAGGAUUCCGGCUAGGGAUGAGCUCGCGGCCUAUCAGCUUGUUGGUUGGGGUAACGCCCACCAAGGCGACGACGGGUA
rnacentral:rRNA from 1 species